AUUACUGUAACUUUAAAAAAAAUGAAACAUCUAGGAAUUAAGAACUGUAAAGUAAUAGGUAGUGUGUUAUUUUAUCAUCUCAGGUUCAAGCAGGACAGUUUCAGGAAAGUAUGACUUGAGAGAGGCAGCCAGACAGACAAUCCAAAUGCUUCAGUUGGCAGGAUGAAGUGAUAUGCUAAUGUAAGAGAAAAGAGCCCUUGCUUUCUGUAAGUGCCUUGGUUGCAUCCCAAGAAGGAAAGCUGCUGCGUCAUUGAACCAGUUCGUCUCCAGCGUGCCAUCCUGCCCAGAUUUCUUCCAAGGAAGGAGUAGUGGAUGUGAUCUCUGCAAAAAGAAAGCUUGUCUGGUUGAUCCUGACGGUAAAACAAGCGUACCCGUUAAGAUGACUGCGGGGAAAGUAUCCUGUUUUCAUCUACGCUGCCUGGUGAGUUCCACGAUUUACAUUUGAAAAGUACCUCUUACAGCACAUGUCCUUAGAGCUGAUUUUUUCUAUUAUAUGAUAAGCUUCUCAUGGCUUUUCCCUCCCCCGAUACGUGUGAAGUGGGUCUAGACUUUUGGGGAGAUCGCAUGUUUUUCUGUCGGAAAACCAC